rnacentral:lncRNA from 1 species
GAAGACAAUAACAUUACGGAAAACAUGGUCAAGAGUCAUAUGAAAGCAAUAAUAGGGAAUAAUGUCCCAAAAUCUGAAAUCAACACCUCUAUAACGUCUACGAAAUCUCUACUACAUGACUGAAAUAAAUGUCUAUCUGAAAAAUGGGACAAGGCCCCCAGUAGACCCAAAACUAAUAAGAGAAAAAUGACAUUGCCAGAUAAUUAGGCCUUCUGAAAUAUAGAAGGCUCACCAAGUGAGUCUACAAAUCUGUCUGAGGAAUUUACUGAUUUUCUGGACCCCUAGACUGCGCCUCCGAACCUGGGAUGAAGGGGGUCAAAUCAAAAGUACUGGUACACAGAGAUAUCAAAACAAAACAUAAUAUUUUUACAAAAUAUAGAUGAGAGCUAUUAUAAAGCAGUUUCAUAUCAAGUCAUUUGAAAACACAUGGGCAUAAUGUAAUUGUUUUCAACAACAAUGUAAUGCAGCUGAGCUAGGUGGAAUACGCUAUAUAUCACAUUUACACUAACUGUCAAACCUCGGUUGCCGCCGAGAUUAGAGUAUACGUAAGGGGAAGACACACAAGAUCACACAGCAGGGUGUCUCAACCCAAUGGUAGUGCACAAGAUCACAAAGCAAGGCUCCUAACCAUAGUUCCAAUUUGGGAAUGACAUAAAGUCAGGUACGCAAGAUCACAAAGCAGGGUACCAAAUUUCCAUGUCGACAAAUACGAUUUCCAGUGAUGAGCCCUUACACUUAAACACCUUCUUCGGGCAUCCACCUAUCUCAUGUAAAAUUAAUGCAUUCAAAUUUCAUCUAAUUCAAUCACAUAUCAUAUUCUGUAGGGUAUUGUCAUACCCGACUUGCAAGCCAUCAUUAUCACAUCAUUCUUCUCAUUCAACUAUUGUAUUCAACAUGUGUCAACACAAAUAGCCCUCUCGUUUUCAAGUCAAAAUCAUAUCAAUUCUCAAAACAUUUCAUGUCAUGCUUUUCAAGAUAUUUUCAAACAAGUUACAUCAUAUGAACAUUUAAAAUAAAUUCACAUCAAGAGAGGGAUUCCAUAUCAUUCAUGCUCUCAAGUUAACAUCUUUUUGGAAUACAUGCAUAUACAUAUAUCAUAUAUCAAAUCACUUUGGAAUUAAGCCUAAAGACAAAAUCAAUAUCAUAAAGAUGCUUGAAACAUGUUUAUAUUCAUAAUUUCAAAACCCCCAUUUUUAAAACAUGGAUUUUUAAGCCCAUGAGAUUUUUGAGAUAACCUCACGUACCUCGAUUGCUACGAAUAUUAGGUGCUUCUUGAAGCCUAUGUUGCGAGGAUUCCAAAUAUGCAAUUAGUUUCUAAAACCCACGGUUGAAUCUUGAGUUUCUUGGGUUUUUAUUUUUAUACCCUAGAGAGAGUUCUUGAACAAUUUUGAUGAAUGAAGGUGUAUUUUGGGGUCUUUGGGAACUGAAUUUCGUAUUUAGGACUAAGUAAGGGCGGAAAAGGACCAUUUUGCCCCCAAAACAUAGUGUUUAAGUUACUUGAAACCUUUACAUAGGCGCUUCCUAUGCUAUUGCCUAUGUUUACAUAGGCUCCGCCUAUUCUAUCGUCAAUGUUUACAUAGGCGCCGCCUACUACUUUGAAAGGCCAUAACUUCUUGCUCGAGUGCCGGAUUUUAGCAAAAUUGGUAUCGUUGGAAAGCUAACUCAAAGAACUAUCAUUUUACAUAUAGUAGUCUCUCUAAUUCGACAUAUCCAGAGAUUUAUGGUCGAUGAAAGCUAAGACAAAUUACAAUGUCCACUAAAACUUAAUUGAUCAAAAUAGUUUCAACCCGUUCUUGAGUUGAAGGACCUCUAUGGUCUAAAUUCAAGCUUGAAUGGAUUCACAUACUACACAAAUAAUUAACAUGCCAUAUUAGCAUAGGAUUUAUGGCUUCGGGAUUAUCAAUGCAUCGGAAUCAUGGUCUAUAUUGUAGCCCAAAAUGCGGAGAGUUACAAAAAAAAUAACUAUGAAAUGACAUAAUUUAAGAUUGAACAAAAUCGGUAGAUACUACAAAUCAAUUGGGUGAAACUUGAAAGCUUAGAAGUGAAGAGCAACACCACUCCUCUAAGUAAAUAGAAUGUUAGCAAAAUCAAGUUAAUGUCAUCAUUUUUCCAAAUGGGGGAAUCAGUAGCUACGGUUAAGUCUGGAAAGGAUACAUCGUACAUAUAUGUAUAGAGAAGUAUCACUUAAAUGCAUCGACUUAUGCUUCAAUGCCAAAAAAACAACAUAGAAUUAUGCUUCAAUUUAAAACUUUAUGUUGAAUGUAGUAAAGAUUUUAGGUAGCUAUUGGACGAGAGUAUGAACAUAAACUGGCAAGGAGAAUCAACAAACUUAAUUUUCCUAUCCUUGAUUGCAGUGGAAGGGGAUCAAAAAUUGUAAACUUAAUGUUGGAUAUAAGUUGCAAAAAAAAAAAAAAAAAAGCUUGAUAUUAUUAUUAUGUUUUCGCUUGUAGAAUUUCAUAUCUUUUCUUCCUCGGGUUAAUAUAAUUAGAAGUGCAAAGUGAAAAGAAAGUCUUUUUCACUAUUUCACAGGUCCUUUCAGUUCUCCCUUGUCAUAUCCUUUGUAUCAGAUUACUUAACAUCGACUAGUGAAUAAUCAUUUUAGUCUACUGAAUAAUAUAAGCCUAUAAUAACAUUGACAAUUUUCAUAUUCACUGAAUGUAAGAGUAAUUUGUAUUUUUAUAUUUAGUUGUAUACUUGACUUGACUGAGAAACUGCCUUUCCCAUUCCUCGUCCCGAUUCGCUAAAAUCUCAGUUUACUUCUUCCCUGCUCCUUCCCACAACCCUCAAAAUCCAUGUUCCAUUGCCGACCUAGUCGUUUCGAGAUAUUUUAAAAUCUCUCUCCAUUGUUUUGCUUCUUUAAUCCAGAAGAUGAUUCCGUGCAAGUACAUCUUCCCCUCACUUUCUUUUCAAUUUGUUUCCACGUCUGCUUCCUUAGAAAUAUACUAGAUUCUUGAGCAUAAGGAUUAAUAUAGCGAUCUAGAAUUUCGAUUUAAUGCCCAUCUCAAGCUCCAUUUUAUUGGAAAAUUUCACAUGCAAUUUCUCUUGGUAGCUUUCUUUUAUUCCUUCAUUAAGUUUCAUUAAAUUCAAUAAAUUUCGUUAAAUAAAUUAUUGAACGCUUCUUUUUUUGUUGGAUUAAUGUUUUUCCUUUUUCUAUUUUUGAGAGAAAAAAAUAAUUAAGUAAAACAUAAUUAACUUAAUGAUCACUUCUCCUAGAAUUCUAUGUUCUCAAGUUUUUCCAUCUUAUUCCAUAAUCAAAGCAAUUAAAUAUUUCCUCUCUUAUUAGUUCAACCUAUUCUUGCUAAUAUUAUUGUUAUUACUGAAGUAAAAGAAGAUACAACCUUUCAUUGGCCAAAUAACUAAAUUAAUAAAAGGACAAAGCCAUAAAUUUAAUUAUGUAUUCGCAACACUAAGAAAAUAAAUUAUUUCAUGAAAAUAGUAGAAAAGAAAGGUCAAACUAAAUCUCCAUGAAGAUGCUGGGUAAAGUUCUCCUUAUAUGUCGUUUGCAGAAUACAUAGAAUCAAAUUCAUACAAAUCAUCACUUGCACAGUUGCAAUAAUCAUAAUAUUUGUCACCUUGAAUCACUUUCUCUUAUUAGUUCAUUUUGUGAAAGCGGACAAACUAGGGUUGGAAAGAAUUCCGUCAAAAGACCAUAAUCAAAUUCAUUAAUAUGUGAAGAGUUGCUUAUGUUAUCCUUCGGAUUGUACAUCAUUAUUUUACCAUGAAACAUACGCAAAAAACCACCUCAUUAUUUUGCUAACCUAGUUUUUGAUUUUGCAGGCACCUAUGAAUUUCAUAAUUUUCAGGAAGUUCCGUUAAAAGGCAAGAAAAUCAUUCUCCUUGAUAAGCAGAGUUGUCCUAAUUUGAGGAUCAGAAAAACAAAGGAUGCAGGUGCAACAUCAUAAGGUUGUUGAUAUUGUUUAACAAUGACUAUAAUGGACAAUAAUCAGAAAGAUAAGUAAACAAUUACUAAUAUACUUGUGAUGUCUCAAUAAUUUUCAGUUGGUCACUAUACCAUGCACCUGGUGAGAGCUUGAGGUGUUAAUUAUGGUAUGUUACCAGGACUCAUGGGUUAUUAGUAAUGUGUUUACUUGUCUAAUGAUUAGUAUUCAUUCACAGAAGAUAUGGUUAAUUCUAAGUGGCGUUAGUUUUGGGGGAUAUAACUUAAGAUGGUGCUAUUAACCUGAUUGGGGUUCAAUCCAUUAAAGAUGAUAUUUAAAGAAUCUAAACGAUCUUAGGAUCUGCUGUUAUCAAAGAGGUCAAAUACUAUAUUAAGAUCCUUUUCAUGAGAUUUGAAUGAUACCUGGAAGCAACCGCAGUAUCAUUGCAACUUGGAGGUUAAAUAGCAACUGUAGUUUAGCUUGGAAAUAUAAAGGAUGAUUUCUGUAAAAAUAGGCACAAGAAGAAAGUAAAUCAAAGAAAUUGAAGGUAAAAUGAAAUUCUUACCUUGGUUGGUAUUCCCAAACUUCUGAUCUGAAGGAACCAAUUGAAGAACUCCGAUUGUUGGAGAUCUUGAGAAAAAGAACCGUUUGAAGGAGUAUCAUUUUCAUGGAAUUUUUCAAAAAGAUGGACAAGAGCAGAGCAGCUCAUUAAUGGUGGCAGCAGCAAUAGUUUGGUAUAGUGGAUGGAAGGUCUGGUAACUUUCCUUUUUCCAAAUUUGUUAAGACCAGAUAUUGCUUGUAGAUUUUAUUGUUGCUUUUAUGGACUGGGUCACUUUUGACCCGGGUGUGAACAAUUUAUUUUGGGUUUUAAUAAAUGGGCCAAGUAGCUCAACUUUGAAUAAUAAUAAA